rnacentral:tRNA from 1 species
GAGGGUAUAGCUCAGUGGUAGAGCACGUGCUUAGCAUACACAAGGUCCUGGGAUCAAUCCUCUCAGUACUGCCA